GUCGGGAACAGAUAUAAAAUUCAACAAAAAUAAAAGUAUUAAAAAAUAUAAAAAUUUGAAUGAAAAUAGUGAGUGAAAUACAAAACUAAAAGUAACACGGGGAAUUCGUAAAUAAAAUUAAUUUAUUCCGAUCAGAAUAUAAACCGAAUUCCGAAAACAUCAACUAAGAGGGUAAAAGCUACUUUGAAUCAAUGGAUAGCACAGAUUUCUAGACAGAGGCAUUCAAAAGUGAUACAGAUAGAACCCUCAAACGACACACGACACAUUCACGUUGCCAUCUCUAGACUCCAUCUCUCCGCUCCGAAGAGACCUGCUGCUGCUGCUGUUGCUGCUGACACAACCCAAAACCAAAAACCAAACCGAACUGCCCCAUCAACGACAACAUCUUAAGCUCAUUUGUCACAUAAAAAUCAUAUAUAUGUAAUUUGCUUGACAUCCAAAAGUGGACACCGAACGUCACGCGCCGCCUGUUGGUGCAGCAGCCGCAAAACGCCUCCAUAUCGGUGUAGGCUUUUCUCGGCCCAGAGAGAAAGAAAGAGCUACAGAUGGUGGAUGGUGGAUGGAGGAUGGAGCACUCACGUACGUACGUAUGAUGGGAUCCAGAGUUGUUGCAUGCAUUUGGCUGGUGGUGUCAGUGUCGUCGUUGAGUAAGCGUUUCCUUAAAUUAGCUGCACUUUGGAUGCACCAUUAUAUGCCGGAGACCACUUGAUGCCACCAUCGUCUUCUUGGACGCACGGACAUCGUCAUCAUGGCCAUUUUUGGGUGGGCAUUAAGUGCCACAGCGCUUUUUUGAUGGAGUGUUGAUGCCACAACAGAGGUCGAGUUUUGUUCAGAUUUAUGGUCUGUUCACUCUCCUCAGAUGUUCCUGCAUUUUCAGUCCGUGCAUCCGGUUCUCACACAUGAGGGGGUAAUAGGAAUACCUUCGUUAGAACCGUUUAAGCAAAACGAAACGACACUUCAAAGCUGUGGAUGUGGCUGGGGCUUCUACGCUAAAUGGAAAAGCCCUCAACAGCUUAGGCAAACAUUUGCAAUUACAAUUUUAGCAUAUAAUUGCAAACAUGAUAAACACUUUUAUCUGCGGCUGCUCCACCGACUGCGACUCCGACUGAGUGCAUCUGCUGCAUGGCCUCGUCGCAGCGAAACGAUCCACAGGACCAGUCUGUCCACAAAGAACGAAGAGCGUAGAGAUCUGGUAGCAGCAGCAGCAGGUCGAAGCCUCCAAGAAGCUGCCAAGAAGAAGCGUGUCGCCAAUUGAUCGUGAGUUUUACCUAGAAAAAUGUCGCGACAAUUCUGCCCCGCAAAAAGGAAAAACCUCAACGCAAAACGAACAAAAGGCAAAGCGAAGAAGGGGCCAGCAUCCCCACACAAGAGAUGAGAAUUUAGCUGGGAAUUUUUAGAUCAAGAUUCAAGAUUUUAGAAGGAUUUUUGGUACCAAUUUUGAUAAUUUAUCCACAGAAAAGUUGAAACCGAGGAGACAUACAAAUUCAACCGAGGAGACAUACAAGUAGG